AUGUAUAACUAUAAGAAAAAGGAAGGGAAAUUGUAUAAGAUUAAAAAGCUCGUGGGUUAGAGAUAUAGAAAAGAAAAAGUAGAAAGGAUUAAAAAAGAGGGAAUUCCUAAUCCAAUCAAAAAACCCAUUUUGGUCUUAGUGUGGAUAGAGGAUCUUCCUAUGUUAUACUAUAUAACUCUCAUCCGUGAAAUAUAA
rnacentral:rRNA from 1 species